GGUCAAUGAUGAAUAGUAAAAGGUCUGAUUACCCCGAGAUGACUGCUCACCCUCCCAAUUCCCAGCUGCCUCUUUGCUGUCAGGCUCUAGUGGUGCCACGACUGAGCAGAGGCCUGCUGACAUCAUGGGACGCCCCAUGCGUGUGAGUGUGUUUGCUAGAAUUUCAGCGAAUGCACCACUGUGGUUGGCAUCCAACAGUGGGAGUCGGCAAGGAAUAAGGGCUUGUGGGAGCACAUCUCCUGUGGGUCUGAUCUGAAACUUUCGUACUGAGGCC